GUAAACAACCCACUUGAAGGAGUUGGUGAAGAGCACAAUCUCGAUCAAAGUUUGGAAUUCUAGACUCUUCACUUGAGGUUCUGAAUUGCAUGAAGUCUUGGAGAACUAGAAAAGAAAUGUUAUAUUUUGAAUGCCCACUUUUGUAUUUGUACUUUGGGAAAACUUUAGUAUCUUUUGGAUGACUUUUGUGUCUUUGGGAAAAUGUGAAUCCUGUGGUGCUUCUGUGCCCUGGAUUAGGAAUUUUAAAUU